UACGGAGGAUCCAAGCGUUAUCCGGAAUCAUUGGGUUUAAAGGGUCCGUAGGCGGGCUUAUAAGUCAGUGGUGAAAUCUCCCAGCUCAACUGGGAAACGGCCAUUGAUACUGCUGGGCUUGAAUUAUUAGGAAGUAACUAGAAUAUGUAGUGUAGCGGUGAAAUGCUUAGAUAUUACAUGGAAUACCAAUUGCGAAGGCAGGUUACUACUAAUGGAUUGACGCUGAUGGACGAAAGCGUGGGGAGCGAACAGG
rnacentral:rRNA from 1 species